CCUACGGGAGGCAGCAGUGGGGAAUAUUGCACAAUGGGGGAAACCCUGAUGCAGCAACGCCGCGUGGGUGAAGGAGCGUUUCGGCGCGUAAAGCCCUGUCAGCGGGGAAGAAGAAAGACGGUACCCGACCAAGAAGCCCCGGCUAACUACGUGCCAGCAGCCGCGGUAAUACGUAGGGGGCGAGCGUUAUCCGGAAUUACUGGGUGUAAAGGGAGCGUAGACGGCGAGGUAAGCCUGAAGUGGAAGCCCGCGGCCCAACCGCGGAACUGCUCUGGAAACUGUGUAACUGGAGUGCAGGAGAGGCAGGCGGAAUUCCUAGUGUAGCGGUGAAAUGCGUAGAUAUUAGGAGGAACACCAGUGGCGAAGGCGGCCUGCUGGACUGUAACUGACGUUGAGGCUCGAAAGCGUGGGGAGCAAACAGGAUUAGAUACCCGAGUAGUC
rnacentral:rRNA from 1 species